AUACAGAGCCAACAAGAUGAAAUUGAGGCAAAAUUUUUUGAAGAGCGAGAUGCGCAUGAAGCGAAGUACCAGAAGCUUUAUGAACCUUUGUAUACAAAGUUGUGGAAGUUUACUCCAUCCAGCCAGUGAAAAUGCUGCUGAGGGGAAAUAUACAGAUGCUUGCUUCUUCAGAAUGCAGUGAGUCAUGUGUACCACUUCCACCAAGUCUAUUAGCCAUUGAACAUUUUUGAGAACUUUGGCUGCACCAGGGUAAUAUCGAAGACAGAAGAACAUGAUACAGGAUUGACUGUUGCACUCUAUUUGUAAGAUUUAUUUUAACCAUUGCCCAGUUAAGCCUCUGUUUUGAAAAAGAGCAUGUGUGUCUGUUCAGACUAUCGUGUAAGGCGAUUUGGCAUCCUUUUUUGUUUUUGGGGGGCACGAGUUAAGCUCUAUUUGCAAUUGGCAUCUAUUGUGCGGUCAAGUGAACUUAGUACUCAAUACCAAUGAUGGUCUCGACAACAAUCAUACAUGCAGAUUCACCAUUUUGCUUGCAACUUUGGAGCUCUGCAUGGUCUCCACGGCAACGCUUGGAGGUUUCUUUUGUUUUCCUGUAGAAAAUUAACUUGAAUUUUGUUUUGUUAACUCUUUAAAUGCCAUCUCGAUGCAGUUAUUGCUAGAGAUGAAGGACCAGUUUUGUG